CGUAGGGUGCGAGCGUUAAUCGGAAUUACUGGGCGUAAAGCGUGCGCAGGCGGUUUUGUAAGACAGAUGUGAAAUCCCCGGGCUCAACCUGGGGCCUGCACUUGUGACUGCAAGGCUAGAGUACGGUAGAGGGGGAUGGAAUUCCGCGUGUAGCAGUGAAAUGCGUAGAUAUGCGGAGGAACACCGAUGGCGAAGGCAAUCCCCUGGACCUGUACUGACGCUCAUGCACGAAAGCGUGGGGAGCAAACAGGAUUAGAUACCCUGGUAGUCCACGCCCUAAACGAUGUCAACUGGUUGUUGGGUCUUUACUGACUCAGUAACGAAGCUAACGCGUGAAGUUGACCGCCUGGGGAGUACGGCCGCAAGGUUG
rnacentral:rRNA from 1 species